UAGAGACUCGAAAGCGAUCCGACCUAAUUAAUUUAUUCGCAUAUGGAGAACGCAUCGUUAUUGAUUGAUUAGCAGACGCGGCCUAAACCGCGGAAUAAUUUUCAUUUCACAUAUAGGGGGAAAUACUCAGACACGACAUAUUCGUUUUUACCGACCGAACCCGACGCGAACGAAUCUUUUUUCGUUUUUCGGCGCGCGAAACCGUGGCGCAAAGGAAGAAGAAGGGGAGAGACGUAGUAGAGUAUGAUGACAGCGGAAAGACACGACCACCAUAGAGAGAAUGUCGAUCUCGUUUUUGCGAACGGUUGGAAGACACGCGGAAUGGACGUUUGUCGAUAUCGUUUACACGAACGACACGUACGUAUAAGUUACGAUGAUGUGAGGCAGAUCCAUUAGACUAUGCAAUUGUCCACGUAUUGCAUUGUCAGCCACCAUAGAGAUUUCUAUUCAGAAAUCGCGGAAGUCCCCGGAUGCAUUGACGAGAGGUAGAGGAUGAUCGAGGACCGCUCUUGUUGCGAGAAGGAAAGAGACACGAGAGAGACGGAAUACCAUGAUCGACCAGGAUACUGGUUACUCGUAUUUCCCUUUUUUCCCCUCUCCCUAAUUGUCAUACGUGAUAUUCGUCUCUACAGAAGUCAAGAAUCUUUUCUACUGUGUGUGCAUAUAUUAGAAAUUUUAUUUUAAUUGACAUUACUUCUCUAUCCGGGAUCCAUGAAUUUUCUAUCUAACUGGAGCAUUUAUACGAAGCAUCGGUGGUUUUAUUUAAAUACCCGGGAAGAAUUCAGUGGCCAAAAAAUCGGCGAACCGUAAAGAAAGAUUCACGGAUAAAAAGGGGAUCCGUUUGAUCGCGAACCAGCGCUUGAAGCGUGGUGAAAAACCAGUCCCGACCGUAUCACUCCAUUUCUUUGGUCAGGAUCGGGCCAAACAAUUAAAUUCGAAUGAGAAAAUCUCUUUUGAUGGCGAUGCACCGCGAUGAACGCACGACGGACAUAUUAGUAUAAUAAGCAACGAUCUGUGUAUGCAUAUAUAGAUUAUGGCAACAAAGAGGAUGAAUGAAAGAAACGACAGAGAUAGCAGUAGCAAUGAUGAAAAGAACUAGAUGUACAGAUAUACACCACAUUGCGUAUGAGCGUGGCGACGAGAAGAACCAAUUGGUCUGCGAUCACGAAUACACAUGCACAUAUACAUACUACGGAAGGAAGCGAGAACGGAAAAAGUGAAGAAAUGAGAGCGAUAAGGAAAGCAAAUCGAAGGAAGGAGGAAGGGAAUCCAAUAUAACUGCACACACGUUUAUAGGGUCGAUGGGAAUAUAUUGGAGCGGAUAUUGAAAUACUUGUUGGUAGUUUGAGUCGAAGGCGAGAGAUGCCUUUCUCGAUGCCAUCUUGAUUGCGCAAUCGAGGCAUCGGUCCACGAGUACAGAAUUUAACGAUAAAGAUCGUACGGAUUAUAGAAUCCUAGACGGGGAACAAAGUCCCCUUCCUACCUAUUCUCCUUUCCCAGGUUUUGUGCCUUUAUCGGUAUUACGAACCUCAACUUCUUGUUGUUUACUACAUUAUUUCCUUAAACGAGAUGUUAUGUUACCAUUACAUUUGGCAAUCUAACUUCGUCAUAUAUUUUUAAAAAUAUAUUUUGUUUGUAUUGUAUGUAAACAAGUAAUAUAUGAAUUCUAUUCACUUAUCUAUUUCAUAAUUAUUUAAAGAAAAGAUAAGAUUAAAUUUUUUUCGAAUUGAUAUAUUGAGUUACAUUCUAAAAAUAUCAAUUAUCGAAAAUAUAACAGAAAAUUGCAAAUAAUGUUAUAAAAAAUAAA